rnacentral:rRNA from 1 species
GAUGAACGCUGGCGGUGUGCCUAAUACAUGCAAGUCGAGCGAACGGACGAGAAGCUUGCUUUUCUGAUGUUAGCGGCGGACGGGUGAGUAACACGUGGAUAACCUACCUAUAAGACUGGGAUAACUUCGGGAAACCGGAGCUAAUACCGGAUAAUAUUUUGAACCGCAUGGUUCAAAAGUGAAAGACGGUCUUGCUGUCACUUAUAGAUGGAUCCGCGCUGCAUUAGCUAGUUGGUAAGGUAACGGCUUACCAAGGCAACGAUGCAUAGCCGACCUGAGAGGGUGAUCGGCCACACUGGAACUGAGACACGGUCCAGACUCCUACGGGAGGCAGCAGUAGGGAAUCUUCCGCAAUGGGCGAAAGCCUGACGGAGCAACGCCGCGUGAGUGAUGAAGGUCUUCGGAUCGUAAAACUCUGUUAUUAGGGAAGAACAUAUGUGUAAGUAACUGUGCACAUCUUGACGGUACCUAAUCAGAAAGCCACGGCUAACUACGUGCCAGCAGCCGCGGUAAUACGUAGGUGGCAAGCGUUAUCCGGAAUUAUUGGGCGUAAAGCGCGCGUAGGCGGUUUUUUAAGUCUGAUGUGAAAGCCCACGGCUCAACCGUGGAGGGUCAUUGGAAACUGGAAAACUUGAGUGCAGAAGAGGAAAGUGGAAUUCCAUGUGUAGCGGUGAAAUGCGCAGAGAUGUGGAGGAACACCAGUGGCGAAGGCGACUUUCUGGUCUGUAACUGACGCUGAUGUGCGAAAGCGUGGGGAUCAAACAGGAUUAGAUACCCUGGUAGUCCACGCCGUAAACGAUGAGUGCUAAGUGUUAGGGGGUUUCCGCCCCUUAGUGCUGCAGCUAACGCAUUAAGCACUCCGCCUGGGGAGUACGACCGCAAGGUUGAAACUCAAAGGAAUUGACGGGGGCCCGCACAAGCGGUGGAGCAUGUGGUUUAAUUCGAAGCAGCGCGAAGAACCUUACCAAAUCUUGACAUCCUUUGACAACUCUAGAGAUAGAGCCUUCCCCUUCGGGGGACAAAGUGACAGGUGGUGCAUGGUUGUCGUCAGCUCGUGUCGUGAGAUGUUGGGUUAAGUCCCGCAACGAGCGCAACCCUUAAGCUUAGAUGCCAUCAUUAAGUUGGGCACUCUAAGUUGACUGCCGGUGACAAACCGGAGGAAGGUGGGGAUGACGUCAAAUCAUCAUGCCCCUUAUGAUUUGGGCUACACACGUGCUACAAUGGACAAUACAAAGGGCAGCGAAACCGCGAGGUCAAGCAAAUCCCAUAAAGUUGUUCUCAGUUCGGAUUGUAGUCUGCAACUCGACUACAUGAAGCUGGAAUCGCUAGUAAUCGUAGAUCAGCAUGCUACGGUGAAUACGUUCCCGGGUCU